AAUAUUGGACAAUGGGGGCAACCCUGAUCCAGCCAUGCCGCUAUUUUGAAGUUGGUCUUCGGAUUGUAAAGCAUGUUAAGGUGGGAGGUAUGGCCUUAGGUCAAUACCCUGAAGUUUUGACGUUCGCAAUUUAAUAAGCAACGGCUAACUCAGUGCCAGCAGCCGCGGUAAUACAGCGGGUGCAAUCGUUAACCGGAAUUACUGGGCGUAAAGCGCGCGUAGGUGGUUCAGUAAGAUGGGUGUGAAAUCCCCGGGCUUAACCUGGGAACUGCUUGCAUAACUGCUGAGCUAGAGUACGGUAGAGGGUAGUGGAAUUUCCUGUGUAGCGGUGAAAUGCGUAGAUAUAGGAAGGAACACCAGUGGCGAAGGCGACUACCUGGACUGAUACUGACACUGAGAUGCGAAAGCGUGGGGAGCAAACA
rnacentral:rRNA from 1 species